UUUCUUCCUUCUUCUCUCUUUCUCAUAUUCCAUUUUCCUCCGCUCAAAACCAACAGAGAGAAAUCGAGUGAGGAAGUAGAGAAAAACGAAGAUACAAAGCCUCUCUUUAUCAAAGCCAGAUCCAUACCUGAAUCGACCGAAAAUCUGCUUUAAACCUGCUAGAGUUCUCUUCUUAUUAUAAUUCCAACUAGGGCUCUCUUAUUAUUCUAAUUCCAAACCCUAAAUCGACCAAAAAUUGUCUUAAGCAUGUUACCAGAGAUGAAUACCCGUUUUUACUGAGUUUGAAUAACCUAAUCUCAGAAGAAGAUUGAGCUACAAAUACCUAGAAGAUUCAGAUAAGAUUCAGAUUUGCACAGAUGGAGCAAAGUCGAGAGAGCACUAGUACUAAAAAUUUUCAGAAAAAAGAAUUCUGCAAUAUGAAAUGCAGGGAUGCUGGGAUGGAUAUUAUACAUGGGAAAAUGGAUAGUUAUUAUGCUUAUUCGAACUGACAGGGGUUGAUGGGUGUCGUAGGCUCAACAAAUAAAUAAUCUUAUUUCCACACA